rnacentral:tmRNA from 1 species
GGGGCCGACCGGUUUCGACAGCGAGAAGGAUUUAUAGGUAAGCAUGUCGAGCUUUUAGUUUUUGGCUCGUUAAAACUAAUGCUAAACUUUCGCUAAACGGCGAGAACAACUACGCGCUUGCGGCUUAAUACUCGAUAGAGAUUAACCCUAAUUCUGCGACAAGGUCGUAGAACAAGCUAGGCCUCCGGAGAUUUUGCUCGGUAAUUUUCGGAAUCGGCUUAUCAGACUAUUGAGCUAGCGAACUCAGCGCUUCGAUGGGUUGGCGAAACUAAAGAAGAUAAGGUUUGAAGAGGUCGUUUUUAGCCAUUUCACUCCCGACAAUUAAGUAAAGACUACACAUGUAGAAAGCUUAUCGGUUCCUCGUUUGGACGAGGGUUCGACUCCCUCCGGCUCCACCA